rnacentral:lncRNA from 1 species
GGGGUCGUCGCCGACGGUGCAGCGACAAACGUCAAGAUGUGGUCAGUAUUGGGUGUCUCAGGUUCAAUGGAGGAUACAAAGACCUGGUUCACACACCCCAUUGAUGAAAAACGAAAGGUUUUCGGAUUCUCUGAUGCACCUCGCGUCAUUAGAUAUAUUCGGAACAGGCUUUAUAACAGAAAAAAGUUGCGGGUGGAUUCAUCAAAAGAUUACAUACGCUUAGACUACAUUAGCAGUCUGUUCAACCUUGACACGCGACAUCAUGGAAAUGCAAGAGCAUGUCCAAAGUUAACGCAACGGCACCUUGUAUUGGACAGCACUUUAAAGAUGUGCGUUCGACUCGCAACUCAGGUGCUUAGUAACUCCGUUGUGCAAGGACUACGCUUCUACCUAUCUCACAAUCCGGAAGUUCUGCGUGAAGGGUGCGAAGAAACGAUGGAAUUUUGUAAACACAUGAAUGACAUUUUCGAUGCCCUGAAUCGGAAAACUCCAAACUAAGGGCUUACUUCUGGAAAUAAGGAUUUCAAGAUCAUACAAGAUUGCCUGCAAUGGCUGAACGACUGGAAGACGGUUGUACAACGGUUGACGGUUGCGAAGGUGAGAUACCAGCUGAAGAGUAUUUAACAAAGGAAACAUCCAGGGCGUUACGAAUAUCUCUCACAUCGACACUGGAUAUGUGCUGCUACCUCAGCGAAAAUCUUGAUUUUCAAUAUUUUUUGACAGGAAAAAUCAAUCAAGAUAAUUUGGAGAAAUUCUUUGGAACCAUUCGUCAAGCCGCUGGGAGCAAUGAACACCCGAACAGCCCAACAUUCUUACAGUUGUACAAACUGUUGUCGGUGUACAGCACCUUGAAACCUCCGAAGUUUGGGAAUUGCACUGUAUCGGACCAGCACUCGCCUAAAAUACUUAUAUCGCUGAACGAUCUGAAGACAGCUUACGGCCAGAAGUCUGAGGGAAAGCUUUCGGAAUAUCGACAGCAGGUUCAGGUGAAACUGAACGAUAUCUUGGAGCACAGCGAAUGAGAUGCAGAUGAUGUCAUCGAAUAUAAUCUUGACCAUGACUACUCCUUAUUCUCCAUCCUGGACAUUAUUAUUGAGUACGUGACAGGUCUCUCAUUUUUAAAUUUAUUUCACUCAAACAAUACUAAUCAGCUGUAGGUAUCUGCAUUCUUCUCGUGUUGCCCUCCUUUGAACCUCCAAUGCAUGCAUUAGUUGCACUUGUAAACAUUCACUGACAGACAGAAGGUGCGAAGCUUAUUAUUUUUGUAUAUAAUUCGCUAAAACGUAAAUAAAAUCUGCUUGAGGUGCAUUGCACGAACUUUCCCUUUCGUA